GCGCUUGCCUCGUCGCUACAGCUUUUAUAGGGCUGUAAAACGUCAUAAAUCAGUCUCGCGGAAUCGCCCGCACUCUUUGUGUCGGCGGCGGCGCAGGGCUGGCGGCCGCUGGCUGCCUGCUCCCUCCUUUCCACGAAAAGUCGUAAUGUGAUUUUUUCCCUCUGAUUUUAUUAUUAUGAUCGCCGCCGUGAUUAGUCAAUCUACCUUUAAUUCGCCGCCCUACGCUGCCUCCUCCCAGCCCAGCCUGGUUGACACUUGAAUAAGUACCUUUUAAAACGGCAUAACAACUAUUUGAGGGUUUAAUUAGAACAUCUGCAAUUAAGGGAAUGAGGAGGCGAAAGGGAAAAAAAAAAUAAAGCCCUUGUGAGAGGGAGAAUGAAGGAGAUUCCCAAACUUCUGAAGUUGAUGAAGAACUCCUGCCCACAUUGUGCAGGACCCUGAAACAUGUUUCAGUACAAAGCGCUUCCCUUCUGACACCACUGAAGAAAAAUAUGUGUCCAUUGUGUGUGAGGCCUUAUUGUGCCUGGAUUACCAUACUGACCGUUGGAUAACCCAUAUUCCUCCCCUCCCCAGUAACAAGCUGCUGGCUGAGAGACCUCAGCGGCUCCACAGAUUCUGUGCUGCAUUAAAAUCUCACCUCUCACGUUCCCUGGAUCUUCCAAGGGAGAAAAAUAAAUGAGAGAACCAAUGCAGAAUUUGGAGAGCAAAGAGAAGGAAAUCGAGGGUCAUUCCUUUCCCACUCUCAAAAGUGCAGUUUAUUUUUACAUGUAUGUGUUUGGUUUUACGUUGUGAUUGUUGAUG